UACGAGGGGGGCAAGCGUUGUUCGGAAUCACUGGGCGUAAAGGGCGCGUAGGCGGCUUUAUAAGUCGGGGGUGAAAGCCUGUGGCUCAACCACAGAAUUGCCUUCGAUACUGUAGAGCUUGAGACCGGAAGAGGUAAGUGGAACUGCGAGUGUAGAGGUGAAAUUCGUAGAUAUUCGCAAGAACACCAGUGGCGAAGGCGGCUUACUGGUCCGGUUCUGACGCUGAGGCGCGAAAGCGUGGGGAGCAAACAGG
rnacentral:rRNA from 1 species